rnacentral:lncRNA from 1 species
UCAUCACUGUGCUCAACCCAAGAACAAGAACAAGAACACAAUACACACAUACCUCUCUCUCUAUCUACAAUGAUCUGGUGUUUCACGAUGGUCGCACCAUCUAGGAUUUCGAUCUGAAUCACUGACCCCUCAUACCGCAUCACCGACCCCAUAUGUUUCAGAUCUGAAUCGCGCCAUGAUACCUUAGGUGUUUUCGCCCAGAUCUGUGGUUUGGUAUAGAUCUGUGGUUUGGUCUGGGUGGCAAGAAAAACAAACCGAAAUCGACAGGGAAGGUGAGAGAUUUGGUGGUGCUUAAGUCGUUUCAGGUGAUGGCGCUCCAGUAUUGACGGCGGGUCAGAUAAUUAGAAGAUGAUGACGGCGGGUUUGCGAGCGUGUGUUUGUUUGGAUUUGGAUUUUUGAGUUUGUUAUAUGGAGACCUAGUUUUGGUGUCAUGAACAGCAAGAUUGAUCUAUCUUUUAUCUUCAAUACCUUGGUCACCAUGACUCAAAGUUGCUGAUGUGGUUUUACUGAAUAAUGAAUAGAUGAGAUUUGUUUUAAUUCAUUUAGCUUAACAAUCAAUUAAAGUAAUUGUUGAUUAAAACUUCACUCGAUGUUAUAUUAUGUGGAUAUGUAAAAUUAAUUCCAUGUGAUUAUAUGGUUCGGUGGCUGGAGAUAUGGAGGUGGGGCAGGUUGUGAAUUGUGAUGGAGAAGAACAAGAGGGGAAGAGAAAGAUGGAGGAAAGAGAGACCAUUAAAAUGAGAUAUUUUAAAUAAAUGAAUGAAAUUACCAAUUUACCCUCAUGUGCAAGACACAUGUUCUGACUUAACUGAAAAUUUUAACAAUGUUAGGGCUAAAGGACGUAGGGUGUAAUGAGUUUUCCAAAUAAAGGACUGCGACUGUAAUUAUUGAAGUUAAAGACUAUCUGUUGUAAUCCGAUACAAACAUAAAGGACGAAAAGUGUAAUUUACCCUAAUUAAUAUAUU